rnacentral:lncRNA from 1 species
GGCAUUUUGGCGCAUGUUAAAAGUUAACUCAGAAUAUAUAAUGAAACUAUAAGGAUCCAACAUAUUUUUAAUAACCUUGUAGUGGUAUUGACACAGGUAGUUCUAGAGUGGGUCAUUGCCAAUGAGAUGAAGAACAUGAUCAGAUGGAGUGUGAGAUUCAUCAUUCUUAAGUAAGGAUGGUCUUAAUUUAGACCAAUGCAAACAUGGACUGGUGCUGCUAUAGAAUUUACAACUAUUUAUUGCCUUUAUAAUAAGCUGUCGGGUUGCUACAUAAAAUAUUAUGAUGUUCGAUCAGACCAGAACUUUU